AGGGAUUACGAUGAGGAUUCACAGCUCCCUCUUCCGAAAUUUAUUGAAGAAAUCGGCUGGCAGAAUCGAACCUAUGACUUUUAUUGCCACCACUGAGUAA
rfam:Citrus sinensis cultivar Ridge Pineapple sweet orange scaffold00415_contig_17, whole genome shotgun sequence.